rnacentral:tRNA from 1 species
GUUUUUGUAGUUUAAAAAAAACACUACAUUUUCAUUGUAGAAUUAGAGAUUCUCUCAUAAAUA